UGUCCUUGUGUGUGUGUGUGUGUGUGUGUGUGUGUGUGCCACCAUGUGUUCAUCCCUGCUUUACUAACUACACCUGCUCCGCCCCUCUGGAAGAGUGCUCAGUGUGCAAAUCCACACUGGUAAAACCUACCACCCGGCUCUCCACCUCGCUGUUCUACUUUUGGGUCCUUACAUCGUAACUCUUAACAGCUGAAGUAAAGAUGUAAACUACCUCUUCAUCACGGGAAACCUUUAGUGUUGUGUAGAGAAGCAGUCCGUCUGUUGAACUGAUAAUGAAGUUCAGACAUAAAGCUGCUCGCUCGCCUUCAAACACGGAGAAGAUGACCUGCAGCAUCCUGCUGCUCAUCACCCUGACCUCCUGCGUCUGUGGUUCAUUUCCACCUGCAGGUUAUUAUCCAGAAAGAGAAGAGACUAAAUACUCUUUCAGCCUUCAGACCUCCAUCUUUAAAUCUCAGGAGCAUUUGUAGUGAAUGUGACACAGAGCUCCUAUCAGGCAGAGGAGAACGAGGACAUCACACUGGAAUGGACGUUCACAACCAAACCUGACAGUUCAAACUCCCUUAAUAUCUUAUGUGAACUGAUUACUGAUCACAAGGUCUCAGUCCUGUAUCAUCUGCAUGAAGGUGUUGAGGUCCCAGAGUCUCAGGAUGGACAGUUUGCAGGACGAGUCCAGUGUGACAGAGACGUCCUCAGAGAAGGACGACUCAGACUUCAUGUGUCCAGACUCAGGACUGAGGACUCGGGCCUGUACCUGUGUGACGUGAGCACAACUUAUGGUGGCAGCUUUGGUAAAAGCAGACUCACUGUCACUGAUGUGUUUGGUCUCUU